GACGUAGGAUGCAAGCGUUGUCCGGAAUUAUUGGGCGUAAAGAGUUCGUAGGCGGUUAUCUAAGUCUGAUGUUAAAUCCUGAAGCUCAACUUCGGCAUGGCAUUGGAAACUGGGUAGCUAGAGUGUGGUAGAGGUCUCGGGAAUUCCUGGUGUAGCGGUGAAAUGCGUAGAUAUCAGGAGGAACACCGGUGGCGAAAGCGCGAGACUGGGCCAUAACUGACGCUGAGGAACGAAAGCCAGGGGAGCGAAAGGG
rnacentral:rRNA from 1 species